GGAGUCUAGCAUGUGCGCGAGUCAUUGGGACAUGACUAAACCUAAAGGCGCAAUAAAAGUGAAGGUCCGCCUUGCGCGGACCUAGGGAGGAUGGGCGGCCGUUGCGGCUGUCGCCCCGCACUCCCGGGGCGUCUCGUUCUCAUUGCGAGAAGAGGCGCACCAAGAGCGUACACGCUGGGACCCGAAAGAUGGUGAACUAUGCCUGGUCAGGACGAAGUCAGGGGAAACCCUGAUGGAGGUCCGUAGCGAUUCUGACGUGCAAAUCGAUCGUCGGAACUGGGUAUAGGGGCGAAAGACUAAUCGAACCAUCUAGUAGCUGGUUCCCUCCGAAGUUUCCCUCAGGAUAGCUGGCGCUCGUAGCGCACGAGUUUCAUCCGGUAAAGCGAAUGAUUAGAGGCAUUGGGGUCGAAACGGCCUCAACCUAUUCUCAAACUUUAAAUGGGUGAGAUCUCCGGCUUGCUCGAACUACUGAAGCCGCGAGACUCGAAUCAGAGUGCCAAGUGGGCCAUUUUUGGUAAGCAGAACUGGCGCUGUGGGAUGAACCAAACGCCGAGUUAAAGCGCCUAAAUCGACGCUUAUGGGAUACCAUGAAAGGCGUUGGUAACUUAAGACAUCAGGACGGUGGCCAUGGAAGUC
rnacentral:rRNA from 1 species